rnacentral:rRNA from 1 species
CACGUAGGGCGCGAGCGUUGUCCGGAAUUAUUGGGCGUAAAGAGCUCGUAGGCGGCCUGUUGCGUCCGCUGUGAAAGCCCGGGGCUUAACCCCGGGUCUGCAGUGGAUACGGGCAGGCUAGAGGUAGGUAGGGGAGAAUGGAAUUCCCGGUGUAGCGGUGAAAUGCGCAGAUAUUGGGAAGAACACCGGUGGCGAAGGCGGCGACCUGGUCCUUGACUGACGCUGAGGCGCGAAAGCGUGGGGAGCAAACAGG